CCUACGGGCGGCUGCAGUGGGGAAUAUUGGACAAUGGGGGGAACCCUGAUCCAGCCAUGCCGCGUGUGUGAAGAAGGCCCUCGGGUUGUAAAGCACUUUCAGUGAGGAAGAACGCCUGGUGGUUAAUACCCAUCAGGAAAGACAUCACUCACAGAAGAAGCACCGGCUAACUCCGUGCCAGCAGCCGCGGUAAUACGGAGGGUGCGAGCGUUAAUCGGAAUUACUGGGCGUAAAGCGCGCGUAGGUGGCUUGAUAAGCCGGUUGUGAAAGCCCCGGGCUCAACCUGGGAACGGCAUCCGGAACUGUCCAGCUAGAGUGCAGGAGAGGAAGGUAGAAUUCCCGGUGUAGCGGUGAAAUGCGUAGAGAUCGGGAGGAAUACCAGUGGCGAAGGCGGCCUUCUGGACUGACACUGACACUGAGGUGCGAAAGCGUGGGUAGCAAACAGGAUUAGAUACCCCAGUAGUC
rnacentral:rRNA from 1 species